GAUCAGUAGCUGGUCUGAGAGGAUGAUCAGCCACACUGGGACUGAGAUACGGCCCAGACUCCUACGGGAGGCAGCAGUGGGGAAUUUUGCGCAAUGGGCGAAAGCCUGACGCAGCAACGCCGCGUGAUCGAAGAAGCUUUGCGGAGUGUAAAGAUCUGUCAUAGGGGAAGAAUUGUCGGUAUUCUAACAAAAUACCAAUUUGACGGUACCCUAUAAGAAAGCCCCGGCUAACUUCGUGCCAGCAGCCGCGGUAAUACGAGGGGGGCAAGCGUUGUCCGGAUUUAUUGGGCGUAAAGAGCUCGUAGGCGGGUUAGUCAGUCAGUGCUGAAAUCCUCCGACUCAAUCGGAGACCUGGUACUGAUACUGCUAAUCUUGAAUGGGAGAGAGGUAAGCGGAAUUCCUGGUGUAGCGGUGAAAUGCGUAGAUAUCAGGAGGAACACCAAAGGCGAAGGCAGCUUACUGGAUCCAUAUUGACGCUGAGGAGCGAAAGCGCGGGGAGCAAACAGGAUUAGAGACCCUGGUAGUCCACGCCGUAAA
rnacentral:rRNA from 1 species